rnacentral:rRNA from 1 species
UACGUAGGGUGCGAGCGUUGUCCGGAAUUAUUGGGCGUAAAGAGCUCGUAGGCGGUCUGUCGCGUCGAUCGUGAAAACUUGGGGCUUAACCCUGAGCUUGCGGUCGAUACGGGCAUGACUGGAGUUCGGCAAGGGAGACUGGAAUUCCUGGUGUAGCGGUGAAAUGCGCAGAUAUCAGGAGGAACACCGGUGGCGAAGGCGGGUCUCUGGGCCGAUACUGACGCUGAGGAGCGAAAGCGUGGGGAGCGAACAGG